GGUCCCCCUUGAGCCAGCAGAAGGCUUGGUGGCUCCCAGCCCUCCGGGAAGACCAGGCCCGCGCCAUCCGGCUCCCUCCAGUGGGCGCCUGCAGGACACAGGAACAGUAUAUCAACACUCUUGAACCGGAUCUGGACACAGAAGACUCCUGUUUCAAGAAAAUAUAAUCAUCUCUAAAAGUCUGUAAUUUAUAUGCAUUUUAACUCACUAGGCAUUGAAAACCACCCAAGAGUCCCACAGCAUGGGGUAAAAUAUAAUCAAUCACUCAGUGUAAUAUUAUACAUCCUUUAAAAAUGUUAUUGGAAAAUGUUUUAUGAUCUGUAAGUCGAAAUAACCCUCUCCCACCACUUCUUUCUCCCUGCGGCUCCCCCAUACCCGUGCUUCUUUGUUCCAAUUGGCAUGUAAACUUGUUUUUCCCGCCAAAUGAGUCAGUCAUGAUGGGAACGGCAAUUGAUUUGAACAGAUGUGUGUCAAUGUUACUUGGAAAACUCGAUGCCAAUAACCAGGGCACAAAAAAGGCAGUGGUUGCAACUCUGUAAAAAUUUAUGUGCACAUACAGACAAGGACUGAAGUGGAAACCAAACAAAACAGGAAAACAGUUGGACAUACUUCAGUGCUGGGAGAUUGAAUGAUUGUAUGCUGUUUUUGAUUUCCGUUCAUAUGGGCAACUGUCCAAUAAAAAGACCUAAUAAGGAC